rnacentral:rRNA from 1 species
UACGUAGGGGGCGAGCGUUGUCCGGAAUUACUGGGGGUAAAGGGCGCGUAGGCGGCCCGUUAAGUCCGCUGUGAAAGACCGAGGCUCAACCUCGGGGUGUCAGCGGAGACUGUCGGGCUGGAGUCUCGGAGAGGGAUGCGGAAUUCCUGGUGUAGCGGUGGAAUGCGUAGAGAUCAGGAGGAACACCGAUGGCGAAGGCAGCAUCCUGGCCGAGUACUGACGCUGAGGCGCGAAAGCGUGGGGAGCAAACAGG